CUCCCCGCAGGCGGGAGUGGGGUGGGAGGGGAGCGAGCGCGUUGGUGACGCGGGGCGCUCACGUGACGUGGAGCUGCAGAGCGACGCAGCCUUCGGUGCAGUCGUCACUCCCGUCUGGGUACCUGCUCCCCGGUGUCCUGCGCCCCGCGGGCUGGCGUCAGGCCCGAGGAAAGCGGAGCAGUAGUUCCGUGUGGCACUGUUUGGCGAGGCAAGGGAAGAAGGAGAGAAGAAAACUGCACGGGAUCUGUGGAGGUCUUCUCGUAGGCCUACAGUAGGGCUGUUUACCACUGGAAGCCAGGGAAAGGGGAAGACUGGCUUGGAACCAUGAAGGUUGGUUUGAAGGUGGGCAGCACUUGAGGAUAACAAGAGGGUGAGCAC
rnacentral:lncRNA from 1 species